rnacentral:rRNA from 1 species
GGGGCAUCGGACGUGGCUGCGCGAGGACCCUAAUCCUGUGGCUCAGAUUGAACACCUGCGGAUGCUUUACAUGCAAGUCAGCGGCAGCACGGACUUCGGUCUGGUGGCGAGUGGCGAGCAAGGGUGAGUAAUGUAUCGGAACGUGCCUGAGCUGGCGGGGGAUAACUACGCGAAAGCGCGCUAAUACCGCAUACGCGCGUCGGGGAAAAGCGGGGACCUUCGGGCCUCGCGCUAUUAAGGAAGCGGCCGAUAUCGGAUUAACAGGUGGUGGGAGUAACGGCUCACCCAAGGCGACGUCCGUAGCUGGUUUGAGAGGACGACCAGCCGCACUGGGACUGAGACCUGGCCCAAGACUCCUACGGGAGGCAGCAGUGAAAUUUUGGACAAUGGGGAAACCUGAUCCAGCCAUCCCGCGUGUGCGAUGAAGGCCUUCGGGUUGUAAAGCACUUUGGCGGGAAAGAAGCAGCACAGGAUAAUACCCCGUGCAACUGACGUACCUGCGGGAAUAAGCACCGGCCUAACUACGUGCCAGCAGCCGCGGUAAUACGUAGGGUGCAAGCGUUAAUCGGAAUUACUGGGCGUAAAGCGUGCGCAGCGGUUCGGAAGAAAGACGAAAUCCCAGAGCUUAACUUUUGAACUGCAUUUUUAACUACCGAGCUAGAGUGUGUCAGAGGGAGGUGGAAUUCCGCGAUAGCAGUGAAAUGCGUAGAUAUGCGGAGAGGAACACCGAUGGCAGAAGGCAGCCUCCUGGGGGAUAACACUGAUGACGCUCAUGCACGAAAAGCGACAGAACGCAGAAACAGGAUUAGAUACCCUGGUAGUCCACGCCCUAAACGAUGUCAACUAGCUGUUGGGGCCUUCGGGCCUUGGUAGCUUUCAACCGCGCGAAAGUUGACUUUAGAGUACGGUCGCAAGAUUAAAACUCAAAGGAAUUGACGGGGACCAUACAAGCGAUGGAUGAUGUAUGGAUUAAUUCGAUGCAACGCGAAAAACCUGCCUACCCUUGACAUGUCUGGAAUCCCGAAGAGAUUUGGGAGUGCUCGCAAGAACCGGAACACAGGUGCUGCAUGGCUGUCGUCAGCUCGUGUCGUGAGAUGUUGGGUUAAGUCCCUGUGAAGCGCAACCCUUGUCAUUAGUUGCUACCGAAAGGGUGACCUCAAUGGACUGCCGGUGAGCAAACCGGAGGAAGGUGGGGAUGACGUCAAGUCCUCAUGGCCCAUAUGGGUAGGAGCUUCACACGUCAUACAAUGGUCGGGACAGAGGGGUCGCCAACCCGCGAGGGGGAGCCAAUCCCAGAAACCCGAUCCGUAGUCGGAUCGCAGUCUGCAACUCGGCUGCGUGAAGUCGAAUCGCUAGUAAUCGCGGAUCAGCAUGUCGCGGUGAAUACGUUCCCGGGUCUGUACACACCGCCCGUCACACCAUGGGAGUGGGUUUCACAAAUGGAUUAGCCUAACCGUAAGGAGGGCGAUUACCACGGUAGGAUUCAUGACUGGGGUGAAGUCGUAACAAGGUAG